rnacentral:rRNA from 1 species
UCAGCUUUAGACGGUAGGGUAUUGGCCUACCGKGGCUAUGACGGGUAACGGGGAAUUAGGGUUCGAUUCCGGAGAGGGAGCCUGAGAAACGGCUACCACAUCUAAGGAAGGCAGCAGGCGCGCAAAUUACCCAAUCCUAAUACAGGGAGGUAGKGACAAGAAAUAACAAUACAGGACUUUACGGUUUUGUAAUUGGAAUGAGUUAAGUAUAAACCCCUUUACAAGUAUCAAUUGGAGGGCAAGUCUGGKGCCAGCAGCCGCGGUAAUUCCAGCUCCAAUAGCGUAUAUUAAAGUUGUUGCAGUUAAAAAGCUCGWAGUUGGAUUUCUGUUAAUACCUUAUAUAUAAUAUUUUUUUUUAAAWWUUAUWAUGKAAAAUUAACAWAAUUCAWAUUUUUUAAGACUGAAUUUUUAGUUUUGAUAAUAUGAAAUUUUACUUUGAGAAAAUUAGAGUGCUUAAAGCAGGCUUUUGCCUUGAAUACUCCAGCAUGGAAUAAUAAUAAAAGAUUUUUAUCUUUUUUUUAUUGGUUCUAAGAUAAAAAUAAUGAUUAAUAGGGACAGUUGGGGGCAUUUGUAUUUAACAGUCAGAGGUGAUAUUCUUAGAUUUGUUAAAGACAAACUAAUGCGAAAGCAUUUGCCAAGGAUGUUUUCAUUAAUCAAGAACGAAAGUUAGGGGAUCGAAGACGAUCAGAUAC